UGACACGGUUCAAGUGAAAUUCGAGU
rnacentral:piRNA from 1 species